UACGGGGGGGGGUAAGCGUUGUUCGGAAUUACUGGGCGUAAAGGGCUCGUAGGUGGCCAACUAAGUCGGACGUGAAAUCCCUCGGCUUAACCGGGGAACUGCGUCUGAUACUGGAUGGCUUGAGUUCGGGAGAGGGAUGCGGAAUUCCAGGUGUAACGGUGAAAUGCGUAGAUAUCUGGAGGAACACCGGUGGCGAAGGCGGCAUCCUGGACCGACACUGACGCUGAGGAGCGAA
rnacentral:rRNA from 1 species